rnacentral:rRNA from 1 species
CUUCUUGGGUGACGAGCGGCGGAAUGUCUGGGAAACUGCCUGAUGGAGGGGGAUAACUACUGGAAAUACCGCAUAACCUCGCAAGAGCAAAGAGGGGGACCUUCGGGCCUCUCGCCAUCAGAUGUGCCCAGAUGGGAUUAGCUAGUAGGUGAGGUAAUGGCUCACCUAGGCGACGAUCCCUAGCUGGUCUGAGAGGAUGACCAGCCACACUGGAACUGAGACACGGUCCAGACUCCUACGGGAGGCAGCAGUGGGGAAUAUUGCACAAUGGGCGCAAGCCUGAUGCAGCCAUGCCGCGUGUGUGAAGAAGGCCUUCGGGUUGUAAAGCACUUUCAGCGGGGAGGAAGGCGGUGAGGUUAAUAACAUUGACGUUACCCGCAGAAGAAGCACCGGCUAACUCCGUGCCAGCAGCCGCGGUAAUACGGAGGGUGCAAGCGUUAAUCGGAAUGACUGGGCGUAAAGCGCACGCAGGCGGUCUGUUAAGUUGGAUGUGAAAUCCCCGGGCUUAACCUGGGAACUGCAUUCAAAACUGACAGGCUAGAGUCU